rnacentral:rRNA from 1 species
CGGCGGACGGGUGAGUAAUGCCUAGGAAUCUGCCUGGUAGUGGGGGACGAACGUUUCGAAAGGAACGCUAAUACCGCAUACGUCCUACGGGAGAAAGCAGGGGACCUUCGGGCCUUGCGCUAUCAGAUGAGCCUAGGUCGGAUUAGCUAGUUGGUGAGGUAAUGGCUCACCAAGGCGACGAUCCGUAACUGGUCUGAGAGGAUGAUCAGUCACACUGGAACUGAGACACGGUCCAGACUCCUACGGGAGGCAGCAGCG